AUUGAACGCUGGCGGCAGGCCUAACACAUGCAAGUCGAGCGGAUGAGAAGAGCUUGCUCUUCGAUUCAGCGGCGGACGGGUGAGUAAUGCCUAGGAAUCUGCCUGGUAGUGGGGGACAACGUUUCGAAAGGAACGCUAAUACCGCAUACGUCCUACGGGAGAAAGCAGGGGACCUUCGGGCCUUGCGCUAUCAGAUGAGCCUAGGUCGGAUUAGCUAGUUGGUGAGGUAAUGGCUCACCAAGGCGACGAUCCGUAACUGGUCUGAGAGGAUGAUCAGUCACACUGGAACUGAGACACGGUCCAGACUCCUACGGGAGGCAGCAGUGGGGAAUAUUGGACAAUGGGCGAAAGCCUGAUCCAGCCAUGCCGCGUGUGUGAAGAAGGUCUUCGGAUUGUAAAGCACUUUAAGUUGGGAGGAAGGGCAUUAACCUAAUACGUUAGUGUUUUGACGUUACCGACAGAAUAAGCACCGGCUAACUCUGUGCCAGCAGCCGCGGUAAUACAGAGGGUGCAAGCGUUAAUCGGAAUUACUGGGCGUAAAGCGCGCGUAGGUGGUUUGUUAAGUUGAAUGUGAAAGCCCCGGGCUCAACCUGGGAACUGCAUCCAAAACUGGCAAGCUAGAGUACGGUAGAGGGUGGUGGAAUUUCCUGUGUAGCGGUGAAAUGCGUAGAUAUAGGAAGGAACACCAGUGGCGAAGGCGACCACCUGGACUGAUACUGACACUGAGGUGCGAAAGCGUGGGGAGC
rnacentral:rRNA from 1 species